GAAAAAGUUAUGAUGAGGACAAGGGCAUUCUAAUUACGGGCUGUCAGAGAGGGAGGACACGGCUGAAAGCUUCCCAGCACGAUUAGUACGCUUACCGCCUCUAAACUUCAGCCAGGAACGCUUAAGCAAGUAUUGGCUGACGGGAAGCUGCCGUUAAAAGUCACGAGUGUCAUUUCCUUAGAUGGAAAUGAAACAAGGGUGGAACCGCGGGUUAAUCUUAUAUGAUAAAGCUCGUCCCUGUA
rnacentral:ncRNA from 1 species